rnacentral:rRNA from 1 species
GACGAACGCUGGCGGCGUGCCUAAUACAUGCAAGUCGAACGCAGUGGGGACGGGUGAGUAACACGUGGGUAACAGCCCAUCAGAGGGGAUAAAAAUUGGCAAAAGGUGCUAAACCGAUAUUGAUGGAGGGACCCGCGGUGCAUUAGCCAGUUGGUGAGGUAACGGCUCACCAAGGCCACGAGGCAUAGGCUGCCUGAGAGGGGCGACGGCCAACCUGGGACUGGAACCCGGCCCAAACUCCUACGGGAGGCAGCAGUAGGGAAUCUUCGGCAAUGGGCGGAAGUCUGACCGCGCAACGCCGGGUUGUUGAAGAAGGUUUUCGGAUCGGAAAACUCUGUUUGUAGGAGAGCGGUAUCUAACCAGAAAGCCACGGCUAACUACGGGCCAGCCGGCGCGGUAAUUC